GGGGUGGGGGUGGGGGGUGAAGCCUGAAGUCAUUUCUGCUCCAGAAACCAGACGCACGCGGGUUUUCCUUCCUGGGCCGGCGGAAUCCUGCUCAUCCAGGCAGGAGGAAGUGAGAGUUUACUGUAAACAGGGCUCCCCGUAGCCUUCGUUUAUGGUCAAAUAUCACAAAGACCUGCUGGAGACCAGGGCCUGUGGGGAGAGGUGCCCGCGGGCAGGCGCACCUGCCCCUGACGUGGAGGGCGGCUCUGCCCCGGCUCCGGGCUCCGGGCUCCUCUAAGGCCGAGGGGCUGGGCCCCCAGCUCCCUGCACGAGCUCCUGGGCCCGCGGGGCCCGCCUCAAGCGGACAGCUCUGUGGCCGUGGAGCUCCGUGCAGAGUCGCGGCCUGCCCGGUGCGAGCCCGGCUGACUCUGCACAGACGUUAUGCUGCGUUUUUGUGCAAACAGGAGUCCUUUCAGGUGGCAUUUCAUCCUUGACUUUGAGACUCAGGUGACUUUCUCUCUGGGGGAUAGAGUCCCGCAGGCUGGACUCCAAGUUCCCGAGGACCGGCCAGGAUCCUCCUGGGCACCGUGCCCGGGGAAGCUCCGCCUGGCGGGAGGCCUCCUCCCCACGCGGACGCGCCCACCCUCCCCCCGGCCCCUGCUCGGCUCCGUCGCUGGGCUCCAUUCUGGCUCCGGCUUCCGGGCCCAUCGGGGAACAGCCCUGGUGAGACCGGACACCGGAGUCGGACUCAGACAAUGGGGAUUGCACCCCCGGCCUUCUCUCCUAAGGACCUGACCCUGGUGGGGAUGGACAGAGGGCGGGAGGGAGGCACCUCCACCCCGGGCGGACGCUCUCAGGGUGACUCAUCCGGGUGCGGAGCCACGACAGGCUUCGCUGCUCACCCUGGCUGCGCUUGGUUUGGGAAGGUGUGGAGACCAGUGACUUCUCGUGACCCGUGGUUGAGGCGCCCGUGAGCUUGCCCAGGCAGGGCCCACGCUGGGCAUCGAAUCCACGCUACGCGGAGGCCGGAGUGGCUUUCAGGAGUCCCGACAGGCCCCCUGCCUGGCUCUGUGCUGCCAGGAGCCCUCUGCAGCCUACCCCGGGCUCCGGGGCUCGACCCUCCCCCAUCCCAGGGUGCCAACCGGCCCCUGGAAACAGGUGGGGCCUGGGGUUCCCAGGCUGGAGGCUGGGGGUGCUGCUCAGGGUUUUGAUGGACCCACGGAUCGGACAGAGGAGGUGGAGAGACGGAGAGACGGGAGGAGAGGGGAAGAGAGAUCCACCUCGUGGCUAAGUGGGGAGACUGGGACAGGAAGGUGGGGUCAGCACGUGGGAGGGGUGCAGGGAUUCAGAGAUGCCGUGGUCGGUCAAUUCCAUCACACUGCUGGCAGACGAUGCAGGCCAAGGAUUGAUUUGCCAAUUACGUUUGGUCCCCAUGAGUGUGUACCUGCAUGUUUGACCACCUGGCGCUCCGGGGUGGCGAGAGGCGGGACCGUCCGCACAAUGCCCACCUCACCGCUUUGCCGCACGUGGCCUCCACCCCGCCACUCGCUGCUCGUGGCCCUCAGCCCUUCCUGCGUCGGCCCGCCCCCUGCCCCCAGCCUCUCUGAGAGCCUUUGCCUGGGUAGCUGCACACAUCUUCCGAGACCCAGCCUGCCCUUUCCUCUAGUUUCCACGGUACCUCUGCAUCCCCCUGCCUGAGCGCCUAGGUAUGGACCUGGCAUUCCCGCAUGAGUGUUCGUCUCUUUAUAUUGCUAGAACUCCCUUGGCUCAGAAUCUCCAUUCAAAUGAACUUAAGUAAAUAGGAAAUUUAUUGGCUUACGUUAACUACAUCUCCCAGGAGCAGCUUCAGGCUUGGCUGGAUCCAGGAGCCCCGGUCAUGGCCUCGAGUCUCGGCCUCUCUCUCCCUGUCUUGGUUCUGCUUGUCUUUUAUUGACUUCAUUCUGGGUGUCAGCUCUCUCCCCGCGGGGUGGAGGUGGCCUCUGACAAUCCCACAGUUGCCUCCUACCAAGUGAGCCCCGAUUUUCCGGUCACUCUGGGAACAAGUCCCAGAGGGGGUUCUCAUGUUGUGAUUUGGGUCACGUGAGCAUUGCAGAACCAACUGCUGUGGCUGGCGGACGAGGUACAUGUCUGUCCUUAUACUGGGUAAGGGCAGCCCCGCAGGAAGGAGAGGUUUGCUGCCUGGCCAAGGGGAGAGGGAGGCUGGGCAGUCUCCCCAGCGGGCCGGGUGAGUUCCUCACGAGAAGGUUGUGCAUUUUAAGUGUCUCUGCACCCGUGGCCCCCUGCACAAUGCCUGGCACAUGGAUGGGUACGGUCUUUCUUGACUAGCAACUGCCCCUCUCCCACGUAGGGGCUUCUUGGCUUUAGAGAGUGGGGCACAUGGGCUCUGGGGAAAUUAUAAAGUGACAAAGGUCAUCUUUGGGAAACCUCUCGGCUGCCCAGGUGUGGCUCUUCCUCCUCUGAUGGCCUCAAGAUGGAGGAUUAAGCUGCAGCAGAACGGACAGGGGGCAGGGGUGGGCAGGCUUUCCUGGCCCCUGAGGCCCUUCCCACAAUUAUCACAGUGUUCAGCUCCAAAUCAAAACCCACGGCCUACAGUGGGGUGGAAAAUGCCACAUAGAUGCUGGAGGCUGUCUGCUGUGGUCAUCCCAGACACCCAAUGCCAGCCUUGGCAGAGAAUCAGAGCCUCGAGGCCAUGAUGUGGGGUCCUGGAUCUAGCCAUGCCUGAAGCUGCCCCGUUGUCAACAGAACCUCCUGCUUUCAGAGGCAGGUAAGGAUGUUGGUGGAUUCGGUUCUGGAUGAGCCGUGUGUCUCCUCAGCAUCCCCCAACACUCCCCGCCGCCAUCGCUGGGGCUAGCUGCUUCCAAGGCUCUCCCUCUGCUGAGCCCACCCCCAGGGCGGGGAGGCAUCAGGUCCUGACGUCCUCUGAUCCCGGGGAGCCUGGAACCUCCGUGCGUGACAUUCACGCAGGUCUGCAGCUCUCUCUGCCCUCAGCCUCUCCUUUCCUUCCCCAGGCUAAAAACGCAGACAAGUGCACCCCCACCCACCGUAACGGGUUCUCUGGAGUCUCGAGGGUGAGGAACGCCACCGCAGAAAAGGCGGCGAGGCCACAGCGCACGUGUUCUCUCCCUGCAGGACGGGUCUCAGAGCCUCAGCUCGGGGAGAACACAGAGCAGUUUUGUUGGGGCCAACAGCCCCUCCCGAUCAUGCUUUGCGGCCUCCUCCCCUGCGCGGGCCCCGCCACACCCGGUCACUUUGGGUGGUCGGGGUGCUGUCCUCUGUCUAAAGCAGCUUCUCAUCCCGCCCAUGGCCCGCCUGGCCGGAGCCGGGCUGUGUCACACGGGGCUCCGGCUGCCCCCGGCCCAGGUGCCACCAGGUCUCAUGCCCCCAGCCUCGUGGCCUGCCCUCGCGAGCCAUCACGCAUAAAGCCCGGCAGGGAGGUUUCUGUCCCCGGAGGGCCUCUCAGGAUCGGAGUGGGGUGCAGGGGGAGUGGGGGUGUCAGGGGCUGCUUAGCUCCACUGCCAUUUACAACCUCAGUCACCGACUCCGGGGCUCUGGUAAGCACCUCCCUCUCAAUCCCGUUCUCACCGUGCCCUCGCUAGCUCCCCAGAUGCCACCCCGCGGUCCCCGGCUCCUGGUGUCCGGGCCCUUGUGGAGUCUGGGCUGCUCUGUGCCGAGGUGAGUGGCAUCCGGGACGAGGUCACAGGCGACAUUGUGGUUUCCACCUUACCCCCUUUCGGAUCACUGACCCUGGUGGACCCCGGCCGCCAUGCUGUGAGGACGUCCGCGUGGCUCUUCGGAGAUGCCAAGUGGCCGGGCACCGAGGGCCCUGCCAACGGCCGUGUGAACUCACCUUCUCGAAAACAGACCCUCCGGCCCCGGUGACACCCGCACGUGAUGCCACCCUGUCUGACAUCUUAGCUGCAGCCUCGUGAUAAACCCUGAAUCAGACCCCCCAAAUCCCUGAGCCACAGAAACCACAAGAUCCACCCGCAGCGGCAGCGACGGCUGAGGACCCGUAAUAAAGCAAAUGGAAUCGGAUGCGCCGAACGACGUUCUGCUCUCUCAUCGCUGACCGUCAACCUCCGCAGGCUCAGGGCCAACCAGAGAGCACCCGCCCCGCCUGGCAGCAGGCAGCCCCGUGGGGCCCGAGGGCCAGCGGCCAGGGCGCUGGGAGGAGCCCCGUCCUGACGACAGAAGCCCGCUCCUGCCUGCCCGGUUUCUGCAAUGAGCACACCCUCUCAGAGAAGGAGCUGGAAGCCCAGAAAGCCGCUGGCAGGGCUGAGAGAAGGGAGGGCGUCGGGAAGACAGGACGGACCAAGUCACACGCAUGGGACUGUGUGCCCUCCACCGCCCCACCGACACCCGGCCAGGCCUUCGUCAUCCUCCCCUGGGCCUCUGGGCGCUCUCUCAGCUGGGGCGCCCAGGACGGCACUCCCUGACUUCUAAGCACAUCUGCAGAGCAGCUCUGCCGGCGUCCUGAAGGGCGGUCAGAGCAUAUGGACGGGGACGGCUGCCCACCACACUUGCGGGCCUUUGCCAGUGCUGGCUCCCCUUCCUUCACCCUCGGCCUCCGCCACAUCUCCAACCUUCUAGCUCCCGUCCCGAGAUCUCAGGUGUCAGUCGCCGGGAAGAUGUGACUAAUCCCCCCACCCAACACCCGGCCCGUCUUCGCCCUGGAGCGGCCGUUCAUUCCAGCUGCCAACGACGUGUUCCUGUGCGUGUGAGCGGCCGUGGGGGUCGGCAUCUGCUCUGUGACGACGGGCUCUCCAAGGCGGGCUGUCUGCUCUGCCCACCGCCUCGCCACCAGUGCCCGUGCAGGAGACUCACACAGGAGUGUUUGUUGAUUGACUAUGCAAGAGGAUGCCCUAAACGGCACGUGUUCAUCCUGCUGAGUAGCUGAGAGAACUGAGCCUACACGACCCGAAAUGUUAUGACAUCACGGCCACAUGAAGAGACAAUCAGGGUAUCCGGUUGAAAUGUAGAAAAAAAGGGAAUUAUCGGGGCACCUGGGGGGCUCAGGCGGUUAAGCAUCUGACUUCGGCUCAGGUCAAGACCUCACGGUUCAUGAGUUCAAGCCCCACAUCGGGCUGUGUGCU